rnacentral:lncRNA from 1 species
UGCUGGUUCGGGCAGAAAUCACACUAGCAUUUCCCUUCUUCAUCAUCCAGGGAGUUGCCUUGGCAGGACCAAAUUUUGACUCUCAAACUAGCCCCUUCCAUUCUUAGGGAUUUGGGGGCAGUACAAGCCAGAUUGGCAAUUUCUUGAUUGGGCCUUCUGACAGCACCCAAGCCCCAAGGACUCAUCACAUUGGUUCCUGAUUUAGUGUGGAUACUUGAUCAUCUUUAGCCCUACUGCAGUUCAGAACUCAAAAACUCAAGCAAGCCAUUAGCCUCAGUAUCCCCAGUAUCAGUGACUAAAGGGAUAUGCCACCAUAUCUGAAUAUCCUUCUAUAUUAUUACC